rnacentral:rRNA from 1 species
GAUGAACGCUGGCGGCGUGCCUAAUACAUGCAAGUCGAGCGAACGGACGAGAAGCUUGCUUCUCUGAUGUUAGCGGCGGACGGGUGAGUAACACGUGGAUAACCUACCUAUAAGACUGGGAUAACUUCGGGAAACCGGAGCUAAUACCGGAUAAUAUUUUGAACCGCAUGGUUCAAAAGUGAAAGACGGUCUUGCUGUCACUUAUAGAUGGAUCCGCGCUGCAUUAGCUAGUUGGUAAGGUAACGGCUUACCAAGUCAACGAUGCAUAGCCGACCUGAGAGGGUGAUCGGCCACACUGGAACUGAGACACGGUCCAGACUCCUACGGGAGGCAGCAGUAGGGAAUCUUCCGCAAUGGGCGAAAGCCUGACGGAGCAACGCCGCGUGAGUGAUGAAGGUCUUCGGAUCGUAAAACUCUGUUAUUAGGGAAGAACAUAUGUGUAAGUAACUGUGCACAUCUUGACGGUACCUAAUCAGAAAGCCACGGCUAACUACGUG